CCCCUCUCUAACACUGCCUGUGCCCCUAUCCUCCCCCCUCUAGACUUACCUUCAGGAGCUGCGCUUCACCGCUGCCUGGGGCUGUUAUUCCCAGCCAUUACGUUGCUCAAAUUACCAACACAUUCUUAAUAAAAAGAUGCUCACAAGUUUUAAAGCUCUGGAAAGGAACCUGACUGACCACCAAGAUUGCCCUCCGUCUUGGUUUUUGGAACGGCUGUGGUACAGGCAUUAAUCGAGUGAAUUUUUCUACACAGCUGACAAGCAUCGUUUUUGACUUGCAGGAUUCCUCUUGGUCCCUUCAUUUGGUCUGUGGUGCCUCUGACACUGCUAACCACAGUGCGUGGGUGGUGCUGGCUCUUAUUCAUUCUAGGGACUAGACAAACUUCCAAAUCACUUUACCUCCCUGUCCUUCUUUUCCCCUGCCUUUCUGCUGUGAACUGUCUGCGCUCGUGGAAUCACACAUUUCAUGUAGCAUAAGCAGUUCAUACUACCCCCCAGCAUGGGUGCCGAUCUCAGCAGUGGAUACAACCAGAGAUCUGCACCAGCGGGAUCAUCAUACCAUGCUCAAAGCUGUUGCAGAUUCCCACCAGGCAGUAGAUCCCACCCUUAUGCAACUGCCUGCAUCAGGUUCCUACUGAUGGGCAGAUUCCAACCAGUAAGCUGAAGGUGGAAACGAUUUCCAAUUCCAGGGUCAGAUGCACUCUGUUGCCCAAAGGUUCAUCAAGAUGUCAGGAUAUAUUUGGUUUUGUUGCUAGGUAUGGCAGGGCUUUCAACAGCAUGAGCAGCCUGGCAGACAGUUGACUUUCCUUUCUAUAAUUCUGGUGCCAAAGGCUUAAUAUAUUGCAUACCAUUUAGAAAGCAGAACAAUCAGUGAAUCCACACAUAAAACACAUUUGGGACAACUUUUACUUCUGAUGCCAGAGUGCAGGCUUUCUUUACAGGAACAAAAAAGAAACAUUUUUUUAAAAAAUGACUCAUUUACUCUUGCUAAUUUUUUUAAACCAUUUCAUUUAAAAAAAAAAAGUUACUCCUGAAAGCCAUUACUUGUAAUAAAUGUAUAAGCCAGCAUACUUUUUUUUUCUUUUUUUCUCGUAAUCAUUCCUUUGAACAAGGCAAACUCUUAUCCGGUCCUGCCCUGAGCAGUCUCAUGAAGAGUGGACAGGGUAUUAAAUAGUUAAAUAACAAUUAGAAGCUUGGUUCCAAGUACUUGAACUGUGGCUUCCUCUUGCCCCAGAGAAAUUUACUGAAGGUCCCCAGUUAGCUAUGCAUUUUGUGUAAUUUCCUUGUGGGAUUUAGUGCCCCUUGAGAAAGUGGCAGUUAGUCUCACUUGUAAGGUAUCUAACUUGGUAAGACAUAACAGAAAAUGCUGGAAAUCCAAAUCACACCUUACAUAAGAGGCUUGAAAGAGUGCAUUUUGCCUUUAAAAAUUUGUAUAACUUUUCCUGCAACAAUGAAAGCUGCUGGCUGUAUUGCUGACUGUUCACAAGCAGAAAGAAUGCACAGCACAUUAGGUAUCCAUUUUUAACACGAUAGUGGUUUGGUUUUUACUUCUGUUGCAGCAGCAGUUCACAGACUGAAUAAAAACUUCUGUUUUAAUUGGAUCAUUCCUCAAAUAAAGAAGGGACCUGAAUAAUCCUUGCAAUAGAAAGGGGCAGCCUUGCAUGCAAAGAGGAAGAGUUAUUAUUUUUAUUAUUAUUAUUAUACUGUAGAACCAUGGACAACCUCUAUGUGAAGCAGUCAGGUGCUAGCAGCUAUAUAUGGUGGUUUUCCUUAGAAUGUCAUAAAUUAGCAACUUAUAUUUUAUCUUUAAAAAAAAUAAAUUGAAUGAAUAAAUAAAUAAAUUAAUUUAAAAAAAGGAACAGAAACAGUUAUGACAUGCAAGACAUGAAAACAGAACAAUUCAAAAUGACUAAAGUAAAAUAUAAGUUAUGUAGAAGAAAAGCCCAGAUUCAUUUUGGUUUGCAAUAAAUGCAUUUUGGAAGCAUUAUUUAUAAAGGUAUUUCAUAUACCAAAAAAGGCACCACAGUAUCUACAGAGCCAAAUCCUUAAGACUUUCUGUGGGUUGUGAAGAAGGAAGGUAGCAGCCUUGAUUAGAAUAUACAGUUCUUAGUGUACAGUUGAUUCCCCCCCUCCUAUAAACUCAUUCACUGCAAAUCUGAUCUUUUCUACUUUUGUUUGGUUUUGCUGUCAGUUCAAAAACUAUAUGAAUU